CUACACAGUAACACGAUGAGAAGCAAAGAAUUUUUGUUAUGAGUUGCCUAAGUAUUCUACUCGCUAACGUAGGACCACAAGGAGUCCUUCGUGAAACGGCUCGGAUGAACUCAGCAGCGGAGGGACCUGUGCUGUAGAAGGUUCUGGAAGUCCAUAUAUACAUGGAAUAAUCUCUGCUCUUGAAUUUGUCCUGGACUUGUGUGAAGAAAAUCAACGCAGUAAAAAUGCUGUAAUAAAGAAAUGAGAGAGAGACACAGCAUGAACGGGGGAGGAGCAGAGAGAGACACACACACAGAAUCGGAA